CCGUGAACUUAAGCAUAUCAAUAAGCGGAGGAAAAGAAAAUAACAAUGAUUCCCCUAGUAACUGCGAGUGAAGAGGGACAAGCUCAAAUUUUAAAUCUAUCGGGUUUUACCUGAUCGAGUUGUAAUUUGAAGAAGCGUUUUCUGCGUAUUUGGUCAGCUUAAGUCCUAUUGGAUGAGGCAUCAUGGAGGGUGAUAAUCCCGUCCGGUUGAUCAUUUGCGUUUUACGAUACGCUUUCUAAGAGUCAAGUUGUUUGGGAUUGCAGCUUAAAAUGGGAGGUAAAUUUCUCCUAAGGCUAAAUAACGGCGAGAGACCGAUAGCGAACAAGUACCGUGAGGGAAAGAUGAAAAGAACUUUGAAAAGAGAGUUAAACAGUACGUGAAAUUGUUGAAAGGGAAACGAUUGAAGCCAGUCGUACCUUCGGGUAAUCAGCCUUUCGGGUGCGAUUCUGUGGAGUGUGAGGAGCUUAAACACCUUCAUGUUUUGCAUAUUCGUACUCUUGGGUGUACUUGCCCGUGUGGUUGGUUAACAUCAAUUUUGGUGGUCAUAAAAUGACUGGAGGAAUGUAGCUUCGAUCUCGUAUUGAAGUGUUAUAGCCUUCGGUAGAUGUGAUGAUCGAGAUUGAGGAUUGCAACGGAUACCCUUCGGGGCUACCUGUCUGAUCUCUGAUCGUUGCUCUGGUGCCGAAAGCUUGCUUACGGUUAUCAAAGUCGAUGGUCAAUAGGUUAGAACGGGUUAAAUUCGUUAAGGAUGUUGACGUAAUGGCUUUAAACGACCCGUCUUGAAACACGGACCAAGGAGUCUAACAUAUAUGCGAGUGUUAGGGUGAUUAAACCCUUACGCGUAAUGAAAGUAAUUUUGGUGGGAACAUUUUUGUGCACCAUCGACCGAUCAGGAUAUUUUUUGAUAGAUUUGAGUAAGAGCAUAUCUGCUAGGACCCGAAAGAUGGUGAACUAUGCCUGAAUAGGGUGAAGUCAGAGGAAACUCUGAUGGAGGCUCGUAGCGGUUCUGACGUGCAAAUCGAUCGUCAAAUUUGGGUAUAGGGGCGAAAGACUAAUCGAACCAUCUAGUAGCUGGUUCCUGCCGAAGUUUCCCUCAGGAUAGCAGAAACUCGUUAACAGUUUUAUGAGGUAAAGCGAAUGAUUAGAGGCCUUAGGGUUGAAACAGCCUUAACCUAUUCUCAAACUUUAAAUAUGUAAGAAGUUUAUCGUUACUUAAUUGAACGUGAACAUUCGAAUGAGAGUUUCUAGUGGGCC
rnacentral:rRNA from 1 species